AAGACCUUGCGCUUUUGGAGCGGCCGAUGCCUGAUUAGCUUGUUGGUAAGGUAAAAGCUUACCAAGGCUUCGAUCAGUAGCUGGUCUGAGAGGACGGCCAGCCACACUGGGACUGAGACACGGCCCAGACUCCUACGGGAGGCAGCAGUGGGGAAUUUUGGACAAUGGGGGCAACCCUGAUCCAGCCAUGCCGCGUGAGUGAAGAAGGCCUUCGGGUUGUAAAGCUCUUUCAGCCGGGAAGAAAAGGCUACGACGAAUAAUCGUAGCUCAUGACGGUACCGGAAGAAGAAGCACCGGCUAACUACGUGCCAGCAGCCGCGGUAAUACGUAGGGUGCGAGCGUUAAUCGGAAUUACUGGGCGUAAAGGGUGCGCAGGCGGUUUUGUAAGUCAGAUGUGAAAUCCCCGGGCUUAACCUGGGAACU
rnacentral:rRNA from 1 species